rnacentral:rRNA from 1 species
UACAGAGGGGGCAAGCGUUGUUCGGAAUGACUGGGCGUAAAGGGCGCGUAGGCGGCCUGUGAAGUCGAGCGUUAAAUCCCCGGGCUCAACCCGGGAACUGCGUCCGAUACUGGCAGGCUUGAAUCCGGGAGAGGGUAGCGGAAUUCCCGGUGUAGUGGUGAAAUGCGUAGAUAUCGGGAGGAACACCAGUGGCGAAGGCGGCUACCUGGCCCAUUCUUGACGCUGAGGCGCGAAAGCUAGGGGAGCAAACGGG